GGAGGCUGGCGGCGGACGUGCCGCUCGCCAACCGGGUCAGAUCCGGAAGGAAGCAGCCCUAACGAGUUUCCGGCGCGGGUUGCCGCUCAGUCUCCCAC
rnacentral:SRP_RNA from 1 species